rnacentral:sRNA from 1 species
AGUUCCCAUCUUGUGCACAUGCUAUAAGGAGGCAUCCUUUGUAACGACCGACUAGCUGCGUUCCGUCUACAACAACGACUUUCCUCAUAUAUUUCCAACCUUUUAUAGACGCCGAGAGAGAAACGAAUACAUAUUUGAAGCGCUGGCGACCUUUAUCUUCAGGAGUGGAGUGGAGAUGACAGAUUGUACCGGGAUUUGCUAAUUGUAAAAGAUACAGAUAUGUAGGUAAAAACCUGUAACUAGCCAUAUCAUCACCCCUUAUAGAGUUUACUGCAACCUCUCUAGCUCUCCAUGCUGAAGAAUAUGAGAUCCGAACGUUAAGGUCAUUUAAGACCAAUCGAGGCAAAUCUACAGCUCUAGGACCCCCUUGCGAAGAACUAUAUCUAUUCUUCAUAACCUCGCCUAAAAGCUUGUAAGUUGCAUGUUUACGAUAAUCCUUUCGAGUGUCGAUCUUGCAAACAUGGAUGGAUCAUACCCUGUGAUUUUGAAACAUUUGGAAUUGGGUAUGACAUGUGCAGUCAAAUGCCACGAACAAUUGCGAUCUACGCAGAACAUCUCUAAUCUUUUAGGGCAUGACCGAGUUUGUUUGUAGCGGAAGCACUUUUUGAUUGCAACAAGUCGCAUGGUCUGCUGUAUGACUUGCUUGUUUUUAAAAACACUUCCCACAUACAACGGAUGACCUGACGUACUCAAUUCAACUUCUGUCACAUCGACUCGAACAUUGGCUAAAUCAUCGAAUACAGGAUCCGCAUCAGUAUCGAGCAACUCAUUCUCAGCAUUAUGCAAUGUAGAAAACCCUUUAUACACUUCGUAGGCUUCACCUGUUGUCACUAGACCGUCGUCAGAUUCAAUAUUUAACCCACUUGCAGAAACCCCUUCUAGGACGACUAUACCAUCAUCUCCAGUUACGUUCUCAGCUAUAUCAUCCGUGUGCUCAACUAAUUCACCUUCGCAUCUUGUCUCCUCUGCACAGACUCUAGUGUACGUACAUUGGUACAAACCAUGUUGACACGUCGGGGAUGGAGCAGAGGUUGGUGUACAGUCAACCAAAACACCAGUGGGUUCUACAUGAGGUACAUGUGUACCCGUCGACGUACACGAUGCCAAUAGACGAGUGAAUUCCCCUGGGGGUUCCACGGUAUGUUGAGUGUCAUUCACGACGCCCUCCUCAACAUGACCAUUUCCAUAUUGUUCCACAAUCAUGUCACCCCAUUUAUUGUAAUCGUAUUCUUCGCUACUACCUUCACUAAAGUCUACUGUAGGUUCGAGUGUACUUCCACGGCUUUCACCAUCGGUGUCAUCGUCAUGUACAUCCAUAUCUUCGUCCUCUUCAUUAUCCUCGUCCUCAUGUUCAUCCUCAUCACCUUCAUCUAUGUCAUCCUCCUCAUCUACAUUUAUAUCUUCGUAACCAUUAUGGGCUGCAUCAACAUUUGUAACCUCUGUCUCUGUAUUGCCUCCAUUGCCGAUAGGGUAAAAAGACACAAACAAGUUAACAGAAGGAUCGCCAUUACGAAUCAACAUAAAUGUAUCCAGGCUGAUUUGAUUCUCAAUAUAUACUGGAGGGCGAUUACUUGCUAUCAUAUCAGACAUCUUUCCAGGCAUCCAGUAACUUAUUAUAGGGUUCCAUUCACUAAACUUAUAGCUGAAAACAUCACAUAUUGUACUUGCCAAAUCCGUGUACGUCGUUGUGUCUAUAAUACGUACACAGCGUCCGAAACUUCCUUUUUCAGCUUCAAAUUUCCAACCUUCUUCUUUGUAUAUCCACUCACCAACCAUAAUUAAUACAGGUAACUCCAUACCUGCAACAUAAAUUCCUCAGGUCAGACCAACAUUAAAUAAAAAAAAAUCAGAUCUUUUUUGAAGGAUUUCAUUUAUGUCAACGAAGACAAAAAGAAUCUUAACAAAACAAUUUAUGUACUUAUAAAUUUAACUAAACAAAACAUAGAGCUUUCAUUUAUAUCUACAAAUACAAAUAGAAUCUCCAACAAAACAAUGUAUGAACCCAGAAAUUUUUAAAAACGUAUCAUUCAAAUCACGUUCUCAAGUGUAAUUAGGAUUAACACGAAUUUCUUACCUAGAACACAGAUUGUCUCCCCUUCAAUCCUUCAAACUUUGUAAAACAGCAACUGAAAACUUCAGAUUCUUCACCGUAACACAAUUUCGAUUUUCGUUUCUUCACCUUAACAGAAUUUCGAUUUACGUUUUUUACCCAGAAUUCUAAUCUAAAUUAUCAAAAUAUCUUACAAUAUAAUCUCUAUUAUAAUAGGUAAUCAUGAGUUUUACUCUUGUCAAAACUAUUUAGCAUUAAAAACUUCUGAGCCCAACGAAUUUUAAAUUUUUUUUAUUCCAAUCUCAAGUGUCAACUUCGCCGAAACCCAGAAAUCAUUUAAUGCAUUUCUCGUCGAUGAACAGCGUACGUACGAACCCGGUUCUUUUGGAUUCCAACGACGCGGUCCGUACGUACAAACCGGGUUCAGUUUCGUCAGGUCGUCAGGGGCAUUUUGGUCAGUUUUUGGCUUAAUGGCUAAUAGCUGAAAGGCCCAGCCCACUUUGUCAAAAUCUGAAAUUAAAAGUGGGUCAAUGGCUACUGUGUGCAAUUUACCCUUAAAUCAAAGA